rnacentral:rRNA from 1 species
GGCGGACGGGUGCGUAACGCGUAUGCAACCUACCUUUAACUGGGGGAUAGCCUUCGGAAACGGGGAUUAAUACCUCAUAUAUCUUUGGUUCCGCAUGGAGCAGAAGGGAAAGCUGAGGUGGUUAGAGAUGGGCAUGCGUCUGGUUAGUUAGAUGGUAAGGUAACGGCUUACCAUGGCGAUGAUCAGUAGGGGUCCUGAGAGGGAGGUCCCCCACACUGGUACUGAGACACGGACCAGACUCCUACGGGAGGCAGCAGUGAGAAAUAUUGGGCAAUGGGCGGGAGCCUGACCCAGCCAUUCCGCGUGCAGGAAGAAGGCCUUACGGGUUGUAAACUGUUUUUCUGCGGGGAGAAUAACCCUGAUUCAUUGGGGGAUGACGGUACUGCAGGAAUAAGCAUCGGCUAACUCCGUGCCAGCAGCCGCGGUAAUACGGAGGAUGCGAGCGUUAUCCGGAUUCAUUGGGUUUAAAGGGUGCGCAGGCGGUUAAUCGAGUCAGUGGUAAAAUUUUGCCGCUUAACGGUAGGUGUGCCAUUGAUACUGGUUAGCUUGAGUGCGGUUGAGGCAGGCGGAAUGUGCGGUGUAGCGGUGAAAUGCAUAGAUAUUGCACAGAACGCCGAUUGCGGAGGCAGCUUGCUAAGUCGCCACUGACGCUGAGGCACGAAAGCGGGGGUAGCGAACAGGAUUAGAUACCCUGGUAGUCCACGCUGUAAACGAUGCUCACUCGCUGUUUGCGAUAGACAGCACGCGGCUGAUCGAAAGCAGUAAGUGAGCCACCUGGGAAGUACGAUCGCUAGG